rnacentral:siRNA from 1 species
AAAGGUCAAGAACACAGUGUCUG